rnacentral:rRNA from 1 species
UACAGAGGGGGCAAGCGUUGUUCGGAAUUACUGGGCGUAAAGGGCGCGUAGGCGGCCUGCUAAGUCGAACGUGAAAUCCCCGAGCUCAACUCGGGAACUGCGUCCGAUACUGGCAGGCUUGAAUCCGGGAGAGGGAUGCGGAAUUCCAGGUGUAGCGGUGAAAUGCGUAGAGAUCGGGAGGAACACCAGAGGCGAAGGCGGCUCACUGGCCCGAUACUGACGCUGAGGUGCGAAAGCGUGGGGAGCAACAGGAU